GACGAAGGAUGCAAGCGUUAUCCGGAUUCACUGGGUUUAAAGGGAGCGUAGGUGGCCUUAUAAGUCAGUGGUGAAAUCUCUGGGCUUAACCCAGAAAUUGCCAUUGAUACUGUAGGGCUUGAGUACAGUUGCUGUGGGCGGAAUAUGACAUGUAGUGGUGAAAUACAUAGAGAUGUCAUAGAACACCGAUUGCGAAGGCAGCUCACAAAACUGUAACUGACACUGAGGCUCGAAAGUGCGGGGAUCAAACAGG
rnacentral:rRNA from 1 species